CAGGUAUAGAUAGAGAGCUACAUAAAGAUUUCAUAAAUUUUUAUAUUAUAGAUUAAGAAAGCCAGAAUAGCAGAUGAUGGAACAAACUUAAAAUGUGCUGAUCAACAUCACUGAGACAGACUUCACAAAGGCAUGGAAGAUUCCCUUUCCCUACUACACCUAACCGUGAAUCAAUGAAAAUUUUAUUGUUCAGGUUGGCCAGAGACCUCUAAGACUUUUUAAACAACAGAACCUAAUCUAUUAUCUAGAAUCUGUUGGUACAGCUCCACCUCCGGAUGCAGCUUGUGCAGCCUUUCUCUUUGCUUUUUCUUGGAGUGCUCCAGCAUCCCUGCACCACAGGAGAAGAACAAAUUAUAUUAGAAAAAAAAAUUAACUGGAAAAGUUUUCUAAAAUUUUGUUUCAACACACGAAUCUAAUGAUGUCAGAUGUCAUGUCAUAGACUCAUAGUAAUGUACUACGUUGGCAUCAUCAGAUAUUUUUUUUCAGGCCUAAAAUUCUGAUGACAAACCCAUCUAUCAAUCUAUCUAUCACUGAUAGUGAUCACUCUGUUCAACUUUUAAACACACUUGGAAAAGGGAGAUAAAUAAGAUGAAAUGGAAAUACUGGUGUACCUUUCUCUACGUUGUUCGUUCUGGAGUCAAACCAUCAUCCUUGAUGUUGGGUUUACCCCUGGAACCAUUUCUGGCUUGAGCUCUUUCACGAUCACGAUCACGAUCACGAUCUCUUUGGAUACCGCGUUUUUAUGAAUCAAGGCAAAAAAAAAAAACAAUCUCAUCAUAAAUGAUCUAAUGAAAAAUAAAAUAAAACUAAAGAGAAACGUAGAUUUUUGAGGAUAUGAGAUUAUGAGACAUCUCGACACACAAGGGGCAAGGGCCAAGGCAAGCAAAUCAAAUAAAAACAAAGCUGCUAUUAGAUCCGAUCGGAUGCAAACACCUGGUAUAUUUCAAAAUAAAUAAAUUUUAGUUUUGUUUGAAAAAUAAAAAUUGAUUUGUGUUAUGUUAGUAAAAAGAGUACAUUGUGCUGCGAACCAACCUAGGAGGUAUGCGAUUGUGAUGGUGGCGAUCAGAAAAGCAAAGAACGCAAGGCAGCAGGACAAAGAUGCCCACCAACAGAAGAAAGAGAGCCUAAUAUAGAAGCAACGUUUGCGUUUGGGUGUGUGCGGUGUGCCUGCCGAACACUCCCGAAGUCUAUCUAUCUAGAAGUUUCUUAAUUCCUUCCUUUCGGGUAUUAUUUUAUCUUUGUUCUGAGUUGUUGUCGGAUUCCGGAUUUUUGGUUUAAUUGCAUUGCUGGUGUCAACAAACAAACGGCCCAUUGGAGUUUAGAUAAAAACUUGGUUGUGCUUGCGGGUUCAAAGUAGAGCACAUCCAUUUUAUCAGGUAGUGAGUGUUGGCCACCAUCUAUAAAAAUGAGUAAAUGGUUAGAACGGAGGAACAAAAUUAGUUUGGAGACGUGGUAAUAUAGUAUUGGCCAUUGUGUAGACCGCAGUACUAAACAAAAAAUAAUAAUAAUAAUGGCGUGCACCUGGUUCACUAUUUGUCGGUGUUCUGCUGGCCUGCA
rnacentral:lncRNA from 1 species